rnacentral:lncRNA from 10 species
AAAUAAUUCAACACCUGUACAUAAUAAAAUGUCUGAGCAAAUUAGAAAUGGAAGGUAUGGUAGCUUUGUAAUAUGUCACUUUGACUAGAGACCAAUAAUUUUUCCCCGCAUUCUCUUUCCUCUAUUUUUCCAGUAACAUUGGGCCCAGAAGAGAUAUAAUGUGCGUAAAGUUUGGAGGUCGGGGUGAAUAAGUCAUCAUGUUUCACUUGUGCUAGGAAGGUAGGAGCAGGCACUUUCACAGCUGAUACAACUCGUUGCUCUAUUGACUCACAUCAUCUAAGUAGGACAGCAGCAAGACCAGCAAUGGCAGUACCUUCUGCUGACUCUUCCUUCAAGUUCAUUGACUUUUGGGCCAGAUGAAAAGUUUCUAUGCAUUGUUAAUUGGCUG